rnacentral:lncRNA from 1 species
UUAGAGAAAUGGAGGGGAUUUCAACUCUAUACUUGUUAGAAUAGAAUGGAAUAUCAUUGCCUUAUCAUUGAUAGAAAAAUGCCUUUGUAUAUGCUUUAUUACAAAGGUAAGUUGAUACUUGCAAUGCAAGUAACUGGCUUCACUAAACUAGUUAAGCCUAACAAAAGUAAUGUAAGAACUUGAAAUAGAAGCACAUCCAUCAUCUAAACAUCAUAUACAUUACAUUAAAGUACAUUUUAUGGUCUGGUAUUCUUGAAAAAUAUAAUGUUUCAUAAACAGGUUCACGAUAUUAGCUUUACCCUGUUGAAGAAUAAAUAUGUAGCAUCAAACAAUGACAUCUAUUAGGUAUUCUUCAUCUCCUACAAGCAAAAAAUGAGACCCUUCUUCUAUGAUCUUUAAACCAGCCUCGUUCGCUCGACUAAGAUGCUCGCAAGGACUAAGCUCAAAUCCAACAUGGCUCAUUUCCCCGGCAUCUAACAACAAACUAUGAAAACCAACCAAUUGUUUCCCAGGACUUCCAAUUCUCUGUUUUCGCGGUCUCAUAAACAGCAAUAUAGGAUGCCUCCCCACCAUGUUUCCAUGGUUUUUGACACCAAUUGUGACUGAAACCGACAUGCUUUUGCAGGUGUCUUCACUCAACUCUGAAACUAGUUUGUACCUUAUGGUUUCUGAAUUUUCAACUGUCAAAUGAGUGGACGAUAGAUUGAAAUAAAGUCUGUCAUGUGUAACAGAAACAAACUCGUAGGAAUAUUUUGUGUAGCUUAGUCCGUGGCCAAAUUCAUACACUGUAGGACCCUUGUAAAAUCUGUAAGUUCUUCCGGGGUAGCCGGUUGAUGGAUCAGCUCUCAUCCUCAUGUCUGUCAUUGGCACUUUUAUGUAAUCUUUUGGGUACCAAGUAAUUGGUAGUCUUCCUCCUGCAUUGCAUUGAUGACUAAAAUUGAGUAAUAAAAUUGUAAAUCUACAAACAAUCUUUGCAUAAAAGUGUGACAAAAGUUCUCAUUUUCAUGAACCAAAUUGUAUAAUAUCUGAUCUCUUUAUGUUUGUUCAAUAGUUCACGUGUGCAAAUUUUAUAGAAGGAAAUUCACCUGGAUUGUGAUCACCAAAGAUAAUUUGAGCAAGCGCGAUGCCUCCAAGUUCACCAGGAUAACCAGCCCAAAUGAUUCCUCCAAUUUUAUCGUCAUAUUUGGCUGAACUAAUAUCUACAGGGCCUCCACAAAGGAGCACCAAAAUAACUGGUCGCUUAGAAGCUUUGGCAACAUUGUUAACGAGUUCAAGUUGCUUGCCUGGCAAGUCAAGGUGAACGCGAUCGCGUUCUUCCCUCUCUUCACUUUGAUCCAAUCCCAUAACCAAAAUCACAUAAUCAACUUUCUUUGCAACUUCCACUGCUUGGUCUAUUUGCGUUGAAGCACACUUUGGUCCCCCAUCACAGCCAGGAUGAAAAACAGCAUCCUUAACAUAAUGUCGAAACCCUUGGAGUAUAGUGAUAUAUUUACAAGGAGGACCGGCGUAGUUUCCUAGAAGAGUUAAAGGUGAAGCAUUGGCAUUAGGACCUAUCACUGCUAAGGAAAUACUACUUGUUUUUGGCAGUGGAAGAAGUGAAGCAGUGUUCUUUAAAAGUACAAUGCCGUUUCUUGCAGCUUCGAGUGCUAGAUAUAAAUGAUUUUCGGAACAGACGUGAUUGCGACCAAUCAUUCCAAAUGGAAGCUUGGUUGGAUUUCCACCAAAUAAUCCUAGCCUUAUUCUAAUUGAAAAUAGAUUGUGAAGAGCACGGUCGAUUUGAUAUAUAGGUAACUUCUUCUGCAGCACUGCUGAUUUUGCAUGGUCUGUCAAAUAAGUUCCACAUUCCAAAUCCAUCCCUGCAAAAUUCCAAAGCAUGUUCAUUAUGAUUCAUCUAAAUUAUUACAAAGGGUUAGUUGAGACUGAGAAACACAUGGCUAUGUAGUGAUAUAGUACAACAGGUGGGCCAAAACCAUAUGACUCUUAUGCCUACUAUGAAUUUAUAAUUACUAUCAUGCGGAUGAUAUUCAAAGCCAUACAAACAGACAAAAGAUAAGUGACAAAUGCUUCAUGAGUAAGCAUUAAAGCUAACGAGUUAGGUAAUUUACCCUUUACACUGUGUGAUUUCAUUUCACUCAUUACCAAGAUUUACUUGUAUUGAUAUUAUUAUUAGCAUUAUUACAUAAUUAAGCAAAGCAAGAAAACAAUGAUAACAAUCUAAAAAGAUGGAUAGGUUCCAAAAUAUAUACCAGCAUGCAUAACAUCGGCUACAGCAUCUUCGGCUGAUUUUGCAUAUCCUUGCUCGUCAUGUAUGAUACCAACAGCUCCACAAUCUGAUGCAAUAUACCUGAUUAAUUCACCCCAAAACAUUAGACCUAAUUAACAACUAACCAACCAUGAAAUAGAUAAGGUCAAAAAUGAAAGUGAUUAAUCACCCGUGAAAUCCCCAUUGUUUUCUAACUGUAUCUGUUAAGAGAUUGAAAUCAGCACAACUUGGAACACCAUUUACACGGUUAUAAGCACACAUUAUCCCACUAGCCCGUCCUUGCUCUACGCAACUACGAAAUGGUGGCUGAUAUGUGUCAGCCAAAUCUUGCAAACUCACCUGAAUCAUAAAAGUCAUGGCAAUUCGGUAUCACAAUUCAAUAAUUGUCCAUGAGGCGUCAACGCUCAGUGGUAAGAGUUUGACUUUGUAAUAACAAGAGACGAACUUACUUUAGCAUCGAAGUGAAAUCGAUUAACGCCCUUCCAAUUGUCCAAAUCAUAGGCAGUGAAAUGUUUGCAACAAGCAGAAGCUUGAAGGUGUCCCCUUAACUUACCACCUUGAAAUGAAUCACCUUGAAGUCCUCUAACAUAGGAAACAGCAUAGUUAGAAGUCAUCAUAGGAUCUUCACCAGCUGUUUCUUGUCCUCUACCCCAUCUUGGAUCCCUAAAUAUGUUUAUGUUUGGUGCCCAAAAUGUCAUCCCCAUUGCUUGCCCUCCAUUGUACAUUGCUCUAGCUUCAAUCCCAAUUACCUAUUUCAUUUCCACAUUAAUUCAAAAACAAUAACACACUUAGCUAAAUGGAUCUUUAGUAUGUAAGUUAUUUCAUAUCGUUACCAUAAACUCCCAACUAGUCUAACAAUUACCAACACUUCUGAACAAAGACGUCUCUGGUGUCCAUAUCACGUCCAUAUUACGACCAAAUUAUUACUGAUGUUGACGUGUCGGUGCUAGUUAACAAUUAUAUAUAUGGACUGGAGGAUCAAAUGUACCUGACCGAUUCGGUACCAAAGGUGAGAAUCAAAUGUAGCUGCGGUGAGGAUAACUUGAGGGAAGCUAGUUGCGGAAGUGAUAGUGCCAUUGAAGAAGAUGCCUUGUCCAACAUUGCCAACUCCAUGAAGUGCUUCACUCCACCACUGGUAACCAGGGAUACCGAGUCGGGGAAUUGGAGGAGCUGAGUUAACGAGUUGAGAGAGUUUCUCGUCCAAUGUGAGUCUGGAAACAAGGUCUCUGGUUCGUUGUGUGAUGGGAAGCUUUGGGUUGCAAAAUGGGUAGGAUCUGGAGGAUGGAUUUGAAGAGUCACAAGCAAAUGGAGGUGGUUGAGUGAGGGCCAGGUUGAGGAAAAGGAAGAUGAUGGUGAGAAAGGUAAAGGUGGUAGAUGAGAGGGUCAUAGUGUGAAGUGAGAGUGUGAAACUGAAACUUGCAUUAUUGAGCUGAGAAUUGUUCUUGUUAUAGAGAGACAAGACUAGUUACUAUACUAAAGGUAAUCACUACUUACUUUAUCUUAUUUUAUUUGCUAAUUAUUAUGUCUCAAUAAAUGUGUCCCACAUGUAAAACUUUCAAUUCAAUCACUAACCCUUUUAAGGAUUGAGUUUACAAGGAAUGUAAGUAUGAAUAUAAAUCAUCAAACAAUUAAGAUUGAUUAAUAAAGAUAAUAUUUAAAUGUUUGUUGGCGAGUUGAUUUUUGGAACAACUUGUUUUCAAAUAAAAUAUCAAAAUCGAAGCUCUGGUGUUUAAAUUAAGAAUGAGUAAUUUGUGUAUGUAAUUGUGCUCUUGUUUUGACUUUAGGCUUUAUAGCUUUAACUUGUUUGUUUUUGACAAUUUUCUAGAAGGGUGACUUGUUUUAAGUCCAUUUAGGUCGGAUGUUUUAAGUCCAUUUAGGUUGGAAUAUAUUUGAGCCAAAUCAAGUACAUUUUGAAUCCAUUCAAGUUUUUUUUUUAGUUCUUUAUGACUUUAGGAGUCAAAACACAUUUUGGUGGGAAUUAAUUCAAGGUGUUUUUGAAUACUUAUAUACUUUGUGAAUCGAUUCAAUGUUCUAUUUGAAUCAUUCAAGUGAACUGAAUCAUGUAUUAGCAUGAAUCGAUUCAAUUUGCAUCAAGUUGAUGCAAUAACAUUUGAAUCGAAUAAAAAUUGAAAGACGAUUGAAUCGUUGCUCAUAUGAAUCGACUCAUUUGUUCAUUUGAAUCGAAUUAAGGAGAUCAAGUGGAUUUGAAUCUCCAAUGUAAAGGAAGAAAAAGUUUGUCUCCUCCUAAGUGUGGAAAGUUUUCUUAAGGAAUUUUUUGGAGGAUUCUGAAUGAGCUUAAUCAUAUACAUAUAAGGGAAUAAGAUUUUGGAUGGAUGAUCAUAUAAGUUGAAGGAAAGAAGGAAAAUCUAAAGAUAUGGAAGAUCUUGAGUGGUCUAGAGCAUACAUCAUAUUUCAAUAUUAGUUGAAGUUGGAUCUUAGAGAAAUAUGUAGUUAAGCAGCAUAAUACUAGUAGAUUUAUAAAAAUUUCGCUCUUAUAACUAUGACUCUUGUACAACCUGAUAAACAUACAGUUCAAGAUAAAUUUGCAUGGUUUACCAUCAGAGAAAUGGCUCAUAUCAAAGAAUUUGCAACGAAGAUAAGAUUUUCAAGAGAUAUAGUUCACGAGUUGUGCCAAGAGAGAUGGAAGUAGGUGGCCUCAUACCCAAACAAAACUUCCUAAAUGGAUUAUAUUAAACAAAGGUAUAAAAAUAAACCCCAAACCAAAGCUUUUAACAGAUUUACCUUCUAACCAAAACAAAAUUUCCUAAAUGGAUAAUAUUCAACCAAGGUAUAAAAAACCCUUGGUGAAUUUUACAAUUAUAUCUUUCCAGAAUUAUAGUUUAUUCUCACUCACAAAAGAAUUUUCUCGCAUAGGACUUCAGCUAUAAUUUAAGUGAGAGAAAGUAAACGAAAAAGUUUAGAGAGAAAGAGAGUAUGUGUAUGUGAGUUGUGUCAAAAUACGAUUUUGGACGAUAUAAAAUGAGGGAAGUGACCUCUAUUUAUAGGCUAGAGGUUGACUCAAAAAGGAAUUUUAAAUAAAUGUAUUUUAUGACAAUCUAAUUGAUUAACACAACAUUAAGUUUUAAAAAGGAACGAAAAUAUAUCUAGUCGUUAUACAUCAUUAAGGCAUUGUUCUAAUCACUUAGGACUCAAUUUUUACAGCUCCCAAUUCACUUGGCACAAUUUCAACAUAUUUUUGAAGAUAUUUUUUUGAAGAAAAAUAAUUUGAAAAAGUGUUUUAGUAUGUGUGUGUUUUUUAGCCACGCAUUUUUACGAUAGAACCCUUAUGCUUUACAAUUGGUUCAUUCACUACUAAUAUAUGAGGAUCCUUAGCACUUCAAGACUUUUUCAGAUGCGUUCUCUUUUGUAGACACUUGCUUGAGUAGCUUGAGAUGAUGCUCCACUUACAUUCCAUUUGAUUAUCAUCAUCGAAUAGCAAGUCCAUCAAACCCUAAUACUUAGGUUUGCAUCUUAUCCACUUAACUGUUUAUGCUUGACUUGUUAGAAGACAUUAGUUAUCAUCAUCAAAAGUUAAUUUCUUUGUUAAAAGCAUAUCACCUGCAAACGAAGGUUCCACGUUCUCCCCUUUUUUUAUGAUGACAACACAUUUCUUAUGGUAGGUGGUAAAUGAAAAACAAUACAUAGAUGUUUUGAGUAAUUAAACUCCAUUGAGUUAAAUAAAGAGUAUACCCUACUCCCUUUGAGAGUAUACUUUUUCCUCUUUUGAAAAUAAAAAAGGUGGGUAAAGAUGUAUUUGCUAAAAAUAAAUAUGCAAACAAGGAAAAUUUAGACAUUUAGAGAAUGAAAAACAAACACUCAUAUUAUUACUAAGAAACUCAAAUUACAUAAGGGAAAUUUGCGAAAUUGAAAGUAUAAGAAAGAAAAUACUAAAUUUAAAGUUUGCAGGAAAGAAAAAAGAAAAAAUAGGAAAAACACAUAAAGUGAGGUUAUUAUAUGCCAUAAGUUUCACCAUUCCUUUCCAUGAAUUUCUUCAUAUCCUUGGCUAUGGUUUGGCAGAGAUUGAUUAUUUUUUCUGUCUUGGUGCUCUCGCCCUCAGUUGGUUCAUCUUCUUCUUUUUCCUUAGAUGAUGAAUCUUCUUCUAUCUCUUCAUGCUUGAUAUGAACUUUAAUCUCUUUAAAGGCAUUAUAGGUGAUCAUAUGGUUUGUUGAGUCUUCUUUUUCAUCCAUUGUGCCAACAUUUAAGGUGGAUAGAAGUCAUGUGAUUUUUUAUUCAUAUGGUAGUCCUGCAUAUGGGUUUUCUUUGCACUAGACCAUGUGGUUAAAAAUGCCUUUGUCAUACGGUGAACUGACUUGGGGUGUUUUGCUUUUUAUCGCAAUGUCGCGGAUAGCAAGAGUCGCCACCGACUUUUCUUUUAUCCAAUAAGGAAAGGUGGAAAAGAACAGGAAAGACCUCCAGAAAGAGAGAUUAAGUAACUGGCUUCACUAAACAGUUAAGGUCCUAAACAAAAGUAAUGUAAGAACUUGAAAUAGAAGCACAUCCAUCAUCUAAACAUCAUUACAUUUAGCAUUAAGUACAUUUUAUGGUCUGGUAUCUUGAAAAAUAUCAUGUUCAUAAACAGGUUCACGAUAUUAGCUUUACCUGUUGAAGAAUUAAAUAUGUAGCAUCAAACAAUGACAUCUAUUAGGUAUUCUUCAUCUCCUACAAGCAAAAAAUGAGACCCUUCUUCUAUUGAUCUUUAAACCAGCCUCGUUCGCUCGACUAAGAUGCUCGCA